rnacentral:rRNA from 1 species
GAAGCGAACGCGGUGAACUGAAACAUCUAAGUAACCGCAGGAAAAGAAAUCAACCGAGAUUCCCAAAGUAGUGGCGAGCGAAAUGGGAUGAGCCUUGCACUCUUUAUUUGUAUUGUUAGCCGAACGCUCUGGAAAGUGCGGCCAUAGCAGGUGAUAGCCCUGUAGGCGAAAACAGUAUGAAAGAACUAGGUGUGCGACAAGUAGGGCGGGACACGUGAAAUCCUGUCUGAAGAUGGGGGGACCAUCCUCCAAGGCUAAAUACUCGUGAUCGACCGAUAGUGAACCAGUACCGUGAGGGAAAGGCGAAAAGAACCCCGGGAGGGGAGUGAAAUAGAUCCUGAAACCGCAUGCAUACAAACAGUCGGAGCCUCGUAAGGGGUGACGGCGUACCUUUUGUAUAAUGGGUCAGCGACUUACGUUCAGUAGCAAGCUUAACCGUAUAGGGCAGGCGUAGCGAAAGCGAGUCCGAAUAGGGCGUUCAGUUGCUGGGCGUAGACCCGAAACCAGGUGAUCUAUCCAUGGCCAGGAUGAAGGUGCGGUAACACGUACUGGAGGUCCGAACCCACUAACGUUGAAAAGUUAGGGGAUGAGCUGUGGAUAGGGGUGAAAGGCUAAACAAACCUGGAAAUAGCUGGUUCUCUCCGAAAACUAUUUAGGUAGUGCCUCGUGUCUCACCUUCGGGGGUAGAGCACUGUCAUGGUUGGGGGGUCUAUUGCAGAUUACCCCGCCAUAGCAAACUCCGAAUACCGAAGAGUGCAAUCACGGGAGACAGACAUCGGGUGCUAACGUCCGGUGUCAAGAGGGAAACAACCCAGACCGCCAGCUAAGGUCCCCAAAUAUAGCUAAGUGGGAAACGAAGUGGGAAGGCUAAAACAGUCAGGAGGUUGGCUUAGAAGCAGCCACCCUUUAAAGAAAGCGUAAUAGCUCACUGAUCGAGUCGUCCUGCGCGGAAGAUGUAACGGGGCUAAGCUAUAUACCGAAGCUGCGGAUGCGUGCUUAGCACGCAUGGUAGGAGAGCGUUCCGUAAGCCUGCGAAGGUGCCUUGUAAAGGGUGCUGGAGGUAUCGGAAGUGCGAAUGCUGACAUGAGUAGCGAUAAAGGGGGUGAAAGGCCCCCUCGCCGUAAGCCCAAGGUUUCCUACGCAACGUUCAUCGGCGUAGGGUGAGUCGGCCCCUAAGGCGAGGCAGAAAUGCGUAGCUGAUGGGAAGCAGGUCAAUAUUCCUGCACCAUUGUUAGAUGCGAUGGGGGGACGGAUCGCGGAAGGUUGUCCGGGUGUUGGAAGUCCCGGUCGCUGCAUUGGAGAAGGCGCUUAGGCAAAUCCGGGCGCGGAAUUCAAGGGUGUGGCGCGAGCUCCUUAGGGAGCGAAGCAAUUGGAAGUGGUUCCAAGAAAAGCCUCUAAGCUUCAGUCUAACGAUGACCGUACCGCAAACCGACACAGGUGGGCGAGAUGAGUAUUCUAAGGCGCUUGAGAGAACUCGGGAGAAGGAACUCGGCAAAUUGGUACCGUAACUUCGGGAUAAGGUACGCCCUUGUAGCUUGACUGGCUUGCGCCAGAAGGGUGAAGGGGUUGCAAUAAACUGGUGGCUGCGACUGUUUAAUAAAAACACAGCACUCUGCAAACACGAAAGUGGACGUAUAGGGUGUGACGCCUGCCCGGUGCCGGAAGAUUAAAUGAUGGGGUGCAAGCUCUUGAUUGAAGUCCCGGUAAACGGCGGCCGUAACUAUAACGGUCCUAAGGUAGCGAAAUUCCUUGUCGGGUAAGUUCCGACCUGCACGAAUGGCGUAACGAUGGCCACACUGUCUCCUCCCGAGACUCAGCGAAGUUGAAGUGUUUGUGAUGAUGCAAUCUACCCGCGGCUAGACGGAAAGACCCCAUGAACCUUUACUGUAGCUUUGCAUUGGACUUUGAACCGAUCUGUGUAGGAUAGGUGGGAGGCUAUGAAACCGGAACGCUAGUUUCGGUGGAGCCGUCCUUGAAAUACCACCCUGGUUUGUUUGAGGUUCUAACCUUGGCCCGUGAUCCGGGUCGGGGACAGUGCAUGGUAGGCAGUUUGACUGGGGCGGUCUCCUCCCAAAGCGUAACGGAGGAGUACGAAGGUACGCUAGGUACGGUCGGAAAUCGUGCUGAUAGUGCAAUGGCAUAAGCGUGCUUAACUGCGAGACCGACAAGUCGAGCAGGUGCGAAAGCAGGUCAUAGUGAUCCGGUGGUUCUGUAUGGAAGGGCCAUCGCUCAACGGAUAAAAGGUACUCUGGGGAUAACAGGCUGAUACCGCCCAAGAGUUCAUAUCGACGGCGGUGUUUGGCACCUCGAUGUCGGCUCAUCUCAUCCUGGGGCUGUAGCCGGUCCCAAGGGUAUGGCUGUUCGCCAUUUAAAGAGGUACGUGAGCUGGGUUUAAAACGUCGUGAGACAGUUUGGUCCCUAUCUGCCGUGGGCGUUGGAUAUUUGAAGGGGGCUGCUCCUAGUACGAGAGGACCGGAGUGGACGAACCUCUGGUGUACCGGUUGUCACGCCAGUGGCAUCGCCGGGUAGCUAUGUUCGGAAGAGAUAACCGCUGAAAGCAUCUAAGCGGGAAACUCGCCUUAAGAUGAGAUAUCCCUGGGGACUAGAUCCCCUUGAAGGGUCGUUCGAGACCAGGACGUUGAUAGGUCAGGUGUGUAAGCGCAGUAAUGCGUUCAGCUAACUGAUACUAAUUGCCCGUAAGGCUUGAUCCU